AGGGCGAGAACCUGCGGGGCGUGCGCGGAUCCGUCGUGGAAGUGCGCUCGGUGCAUGACGGGGUCAACAUCUACUUCGCCUUCCGCUGGCAGGACCCGACUCGGUCGCUGAUGCGGAUGCCGC
rnacentral:misc_RNA from 1 species